UAAGUAGUAUGUUGAUGUGGCACCUCUUAGAUUCAAGAAAACCCAUUUAUCUUUUUUCUCCUUUUUUUGAACUUUUUUCUUCAUUUUUUCAUUUAUCAAUCAAUUUGUUUAAUAAUCAAAAUAAAUGGAUCAAUUACUACUCCUACAUUUAUUUAUAUCCUUUAAUCUAAAAGUUUAAUGUUUUUAAUUUUGAUUACUCUCAUGACCUUUGAUGAUCAUAACUCCUUUCAUGAUAUCAUUUCAUAUUCCAUAUUGUUGUCCUAUAAAUAAAAGCAUUAUGUCUUCUUCCAUCCAUCAACAAAAUUAAGAAUAUUUCAUUCGCUAUAUAUUUUUUGAACUUACAUAUAUUCUUUUUAAAAAAUUCAUUUGUGUACCUUCUAAAAUGUCCUCCUUAUUCUUUUCUUUUGGGUAUGUUGUUGUUGUUUUUUCUUCUUCUUCAUGUAUUUCCCUUUUGACAUUUUAAUUGAUUUGCUUUACACUAAAUUUGUUAUUAUUAUUAUCCUAUAUUAUUUGUAACUUCUAAGCAAAAACAUGUAUGAUUUAAAUCUAUUUUCUUACAAUUCUUAUUCAUAAUGUAUUAAUUUUCGUGAUGUGUUAUUUCUUACAAUAAUAAGAAGAAGAUCAAAUAGUGAACGAAUUAAAUGAAGAUGAAAUGAUGACUAUGUGAAGAUUUGAGGAGUAGGACAUAAGAACCACUUGACAUGAAUGUCUUUUGUAGAAUUAUGUAACACCUUUUUUUGACAUUUUUUCUCAUUUCUUUCAAUUAGUUUAUUUUACAAACUCAUGUCCCCGUACAUUUAAUUACAUAAAUUCUAAUCUUAAAUAUUAGUAAUGUCCAUGACUCUCAAGUCUUUAAUAUUCAUAAUCUUCAAUUAGUUAAUGUACACGAAGACAAUUUAUCUUUUUUUCUUUUUAAUUAAUAUUAUCUUUCUCUAUAAUUUAUGUGAUUGAUU
rnacentral:lncRNA from 1 species